AAUGAACGCUGGCGGCGUGCAUAACACAUGCAAGUCGAACGAGAAACCCCGGCUUGCCGGGGGAGUAAAGUGGCGCACGGGUGAGUAACGCGUGGGUAACCUACCCUUUAAUCUGGAAUAACUUCGCGAAAGCGUUGCUAAUACCGGAUAUUGUCCUUAGGGCUGUGGCCUUUAGGAUGAAAGGUGACCUCUUCAUGAAAGUUGCCGUUAAGGGAUGGGCUCGCGUACCAUUAGCUAGUUGGUAGGGUAAUAGCCUACCAAGGCGAUGAUGGUUAGCUGGUCUGAGAGGAUGAUCAGCCACACUGGAACUGAAACACGGUCCAGACUCCUACGGGUGGCAG
rnacentral:rRNA from 1 species